CUGUUUGGUGGUCUCUUCGCACAGAAGUGCAUGAAAUUUGGUGCUGUGACUGGGAUCGGGGGACCUCCCUUGGGAGAUCAAUCCUCUGUCCUCCUGCUCUUUGCUCCAUGAGAAAGGUCCACCUACGACCUCAGGUCCUCAGACCGACCAGCCCAAGAAACAUCUCAUCAAUUUCAAAUCCGGACCCCACUGGAAAUCGGACUGUUCAACUCACCUGGCAGCCACUCCCAGAGCCCCUGGAACUCUGGCCCAAGGCUCUCUGACUGACUCCUUCCCAGAUCUUCUCGGCUUAGCGGCUGAAGACCGACGCUGCCGGAUCGUCUCGGAAGCCCCGUAGACCAUCACGGACGCCGAGCUUUAAGUAACUCUCACAGUGGACGGAAGCUGAAUAAUGCCCUCCAAACCAUAAAGAUGUCCAUAACCUAAUUUCCAGAAUCUACAAAUGUGCUUUGUUACAUGGCAAGGGAAAAUUAAGGCUGCAGAUCAAAUUAAUGUUGCUAAUCAGCCAACCUUAUAAUAAGAUUAUCCUAAAUGAUCUGGGUGAGCCCAGUAGAAUCUCAAGGGUCCUUAUAAGCGGAAAUGAAAUAGCAGUGUGAGACAGAUUUGGCCUAAUGUUGUUGGCUUCAAAGAUGGAAGAAUGGAGCCAUGACCCAAGGAAUGCAGGAAGCCUCUAGAUGCUGCAAAAGGCAUGGAACAAAUUCUCCCCUACAGCCUCAGGGGGAAUGCAGCCCUGCCAACCUCUUGAUUUUAGCCCAGUGAGACCCAUGUUGGACUCCUUUCCUCCAAAGCUGUAAGAUAAUAAAUUGUGUUGUUUUAAGACA
rnacentral:lncRNA from 1 species